rnacentral:rRNA from 1 species
GUAUGGAAAAAUCCGUUUAUAAAAGGUAUUUUUUAAGAGAUUUUUAUUGAAAAACUGAACUGAAAAGGGUUAAUUUAUCUUGUAAAUAGACGUUUUUAAUUAGUGUACUUUUUGUAUAAUGGCUUAUAGAGUUUGAAAAUAAAUUUUUAUUCCCGAAAACUUUAGAGCUAUUUUUUUUUACUAUAUUGUUGCAAUAAUAUGAAAAAUUUUAAAUAGGUGUGAUAUGUGUUACGAAAAAGUUGAUAUCUGGUUUAAUAGGAAAUGCAUUCAGUGCAGCAGCGAUGGAAAAUUAGGCCGAGACAACAGUCCGAUUUAAUCGCAAGUGAAAUAAUAGGGGGUAAGCUCUAUUAUAAAUGACGAAUUGAAUUUAAAAAGUAGAAAUAAUAUUUCUAAUCUUUAAAAAUUUUUCACAAAUUUUUUUUUUUUUUUUUUUAAUAAUUACUAUUAUUUUGGAAAUAACUAUUUUCUAAAGAGUAGUAUAAGAUUAGUAUGAGGAUACUAGUUUUCCGCAUUAAAUUCGGGUAUCGGAAAUUGAAUAAAAUGUAUUGUAAGCUAAGAUAUAUUAUUGAGGAACUCGGCAAAUCUUCCCCCCGCCUGUUUAACAAAAACAUGUCUCUUCGAUGUAAAAAUAUGGGGAGUCGGCCCUGCCCGGUGGUGUCGUGCUUAACGGUCGCAAUGAAUAGUUGUGCUAAGGUAGCGCAGUCAAUUGUCCUUUAAUUGGGGAAAGGAAUGAAAGGGUUGACGAGGGGGAGGCUGUCUUUGUAAUAUAAUUUGAAAUUUUCUUUUACGUGAAAAGACUUAAAUUUUAAAAUAAGAAGAGAAGACCCCGGCGAGCUUGUUAAGGGUUGUUAAAUGAAAAUGACCAUUGAGGUUUGUUGGGGCAACGCAAAGGGAAGAAAACUCCUUUGAACGUGAUAAGGAUCCACUAAGAGUGAAUAAAGCAAAAGCUACCGCGGGGAUAACAGCGCAAUUUUCUUAGAGAGUUCAUAUCGAAGAGAAAGUUUGCGACCUCGAUGUUGGAUUAAGAUUUCCUUUUGGUGCAGGAGUUAAAAAGGUGGGACUGUUCGUCCUUUAAAAUUUUACAUGAUCUGAGUUCAGACCGGCGUGAGCUAGGUCGGUUUCUAUCUAUUAUAUAUUGUUUGUCGUACGUAAGGAUCCGAAUAAUGAAAAAGUUUUUAUUCAGUUAUAAAAUAAUUGAAUGAUUGGAUUUAGACCUAUGUUUGCCUUGCUUGUAUAUUUAGUUAUGGGGUUUAUUUUAGUUUUAAUUAUUAACUACCUAUGGUGAAGGGAGAUGAACGA